UACGGGGGGAGCAAGCGUUGUUCGGAUUUACUGGGCGUAAAGGGCGCGUAGGCGGCCACCGCAAGUCGACUGUGAAAUCUCCGGGCUUAACCCGGAAAGGUCAGCCGAUACUGCGGGGCUAGAGUGCAGAAGGGGCAACUGGAGUUCUCGGUGUAGCGGUGAAAUGCGUAGAUAUCGUGGAGAACACCCGUGGCGAAAGCGGGUUUCUGGCAGACUCCUGACGCUGAGGCGCGAAGGCUAGGGGAGCAAACGGG
rnacentral:rRNA from 1 species